rnacentral:ncRNA from 1 species
ACUUCACAUCGCGGGAGCUCGCGCCGAAAGCGGGCUGAGAGGGCGGCUGGACUUCGAUGGUCCGGUGUCGCCGACCGCACGAACCUGUCUGGGUAAUGCCAGCGUAGGGAGGAUGCCAUGUCGGCGUC